rnacentral:rRNA from 1 species
CCUACGGGCGGCUGCAGUGGGGAAUAUUGCACAAUGGGCGCAAGCCUGAUGCAGCCAUGCCGCGUGUGUGAAGAAGGCCUUCGGGUUGUAAAGCACUUUCAGCGGGGAGGAAGGCGGUGAGGUUAAUAACCUCGGCGAUUGACGUUACCCGCAGAAGAAGCACCGGCUAACUCCGUGCCAGCAGCCGCGGUAAUACGGAGGGUGCAAGCGUUAAUCGGAAUUACUGGGCGUAAAGCGCACGCAGGCGGUCUGUCAAGUCGGAUGUGAAAUCCCCGGGCUCAACCUGGGAACUGCAUUCGAAACUGGCAGGCUAGAGUCUUGUAGAGGGGGGUAGAAUUCCAGGUGUAGCGGUGAAAUGCGUAGAGAUCUGGAGGAAUACCGGUGGCGAAGGCGGCCCCCUGGACAAAGACUGACGCUCAGGUGCGAAAGCGUGGGGAGCAAACAGGAUUAGAUACCCCAGUAGUC